AUAUAAUUGGUCUCUCCCAGGACUCAACGGUCAAACGUGGUUGUCAUCAACCAAACGUCGGAAAACCAGACCCCUCGCAACUAUGCCGUAUAUACUCUGCGAUUCGCACACUAAUCAUACAUGAGAAUAAGCAAUCCGCCGUCCGCAUGAAAAGCACCAUCCCAUCUGGUCGUCCGCGCCCUUCUCGAGCACAGAAAUCUUCGUACUUUUGCCGAGUGUGAUCGCACGGCACUUAUCUCUUCGCGUCAGCCAUCCAUUCAAAUAAGUUUGUCAGGCCUAUGUGAACUUACCGAAAUAGCCCUAAGGGCCCUACCACUACAGUGGCUUGCGUCGUCUCCCUCUUAACCGGGGCAAUCCCUUGUUAUUAUGGUGAUAUACUGGGGGUAUGAAUGUCAUCUUCUUUGAUUAAAUAUAUAUAUACCUCGGUCGUCGUGGGAGCCAGCAGCAGUCAUCUCUUUUGAGGCUAUUAUAGGGUCACCAUCACGAAAAAAUUUCUCACGUUCCGAUGAACACGUGGCUUCCGCUGGCUACUCUGGCCGUAAGAUCAACGGAAUCUGGCUUCCGCUGUACCGUGAUGUGCUCUGCGAGUGGUCCUGAUUCAAUUGUGAUCAGAUAACCGAUCGUCGUCACUGUUCUUAGGGACAACUUACCGCUAGAGGAUGGGAAAUUUCUUAAGAACUCGGCGGUCCGAGGAUUUCAAAAGCGACAUUUCCGGGGUUCGAGCAGAGGCAAGGGAAGGAACGAAACCCCGCAUGAGAAGACCGACCCUUCUCAAAGGAAUCAUCAAAGGAAGAUUCGUUCUUGGAUUCGAGCUGGGUUUUCUUCCCGGUCUUGGAGCAGGUUAGAAUCCCCCAUCCCCGAUCUUCGGCCUUUGUUUUCUUCUUCCUCUGUUCUCUAGGAUCAUCCUAGGGUUUCGAGAUCGUGGUAAGAUUCUUGAAUUCUAUGGGCCGUUCUGAUUGCGAGGAAGAGAAACGGUUCUUCUCUUCCUUCGUGGUUUCUAGUUUUGUUUGGGGUUCUUGGAGGGGUUUUAAGCAUCAGAGUCGGAUUUUUUGACUAUCUAUUGUGGAUAUAUGGCAUUCUUGCGGCUUUUAACAUGAGAGAAAGAAAAAAGCUAUUAUUUGGAGUUCGUUUCUUGAUCUUGAAAGGCGUAGAAACGGUUCUUGUUUUUAAUUUCGGUUCUGCUAUGAUUGGGAGCCCUAUCCUUUAAAUUUCUCCUUCUUAAUCCCUUUUCCCUUUAUCUUAUGGAAUUAAUAGUAUUUAGUAGCGCGAGGUGGUUGGUUUUGUGGUGGUUGGUACUAUUCCUUUCUUGAAGGAAUACACCUGAAUUUGGUUUUUUGGUAAUACGGCUUCGUUAUCGAGCCCUAGUAAGGUUGGCCCCAUGGGAGACCCCCAAGUCCGCAGCAUUGUUUGCUUCCCUGUAGACAUGAUUGGCUUCAAAGGUGGUGAGCGAAGGAACGUGCCUCCGGGAAUGCAAUAAUAGUAGGAGAGCAUCCUUCUUCUCAUCCACAUGGUUGGUUACCUAAGGGGAUUACUGCUUUUAAUCACCUUCCAGUACGAUGCCAUCUGCCCUCAGGAUAGAAGUAUCAUAUAUUAGACCUCUCCAUGCAGCUCUCAGCUCAGCCAAGAGAACCGUGGUAUCAUAAAGAUUAAAUCCAGUACCACCAUUCAAUCUUCCCUCCUUCACACUGCCAUUGAAGUUGAAUUUUGGGUGCUGACAUGCAGCUGAGAAAAAAAGCAAAGGGAAUGUGCAAAAGAUCAAAAAUCUGGAUUUAUGGUAAUGAUCCAGCUCAGAAUAUUCUGCACUAAACCUGCAUUAUGUUGUUAACUCUUCCAUGUGCAACGUGUGCUUGAUUCUUAUGCCGUAUCUCCUUGUUAUAAUAAUUGUCAUGGGAGAUAUUUCUUUUCCAUUUCUCAUGUAUCUAAUUUUAGUUGUUUUGUUAGCUCUAAUGUUGACAAGCCUAACUGCUACAUUGAAGAUUAAGACUGAUGAACCAAACAUCUCACCAUUGUAAGAAUUUUGCAUGUAUCUCGACCUGCUCUUUCUACUCGUAAGGAAGAACCCUAGGAUGAUAGGUCAUUUAAAUUGGCAUCAAGUGACUGUACAGAACAGAAUUCUGGUUUGUGUCUGGUGAUUGCACAUCUUCUUCAGGUCAUUCAUAAAAGUAUCGUGGAUUUGAUACAGGUGAUGUCGAACUAGCUAGCUGCUACUUUGGAACUAUUUUUCAUAUAAUGCAUUUGUUAGGCAGAUCUUAUCCUUGCUUGUUUUAAUAAAAGCAUGGAAUAUUCAUUUUCUUAAUGAUAUGUGAUUGUUUUUUUAUUGUCCUUUUUUACUGUUUGGAAUUGUAAGCUCCUUUUUAUGUAUGUAGAACUAUGUAAUGCUCAAUGUAGUUGAUAGGUGAUGUAAUAAUAUAACAUUCAUCUAUUUUGUGACACUAUCUACUGCAUUACAAAAUGACCAUGGGUCUUCACUGCUUAUGCGAGGUACUAGGUUACUCCUAGCACACGAUUUUGCUUAAUCUGGGCAGAGAUUCCUAUCAUUCUUUUUUUUUUUUUGUACGAGAUGCGUAAAAUGUAUCUGUAAUCUAUUUUGUCAAAUCUUCCAGGCAGAUUUCCCUAAGACUUCGUCCCCUGGAUAUAAUAAUCAGUCUCGACCCUCAGAUCAGAAGUCAACAGACAAAGAAGCUGUGGAUGCUAGUGAUAACCAUUUACGCGAUUCUUUAACUAACAUGUCUAAGUCCUCAGAGUUUAUCUUCAGUUGAAAUACAACCAGUAUUGCACUCCACCGGCUGUAUGCCACGUUUCUAUAGCACUGCAACUACUUAUGAAACUCCAUUAUACCCAGAUCUGCAACCAUCUAAAUUUUUUAGUCCUCAGUAUGGCAUAGGUGGAUGUGCUUUAGAGACCUUAUUUAUGCCACCUAUCAUCACUGGAUAUUCUCCUCAUAGUGCUAUUCCUAUUUCUCUCAAUAGUCCUGUGAGCCCAACUUUAAUGCUACAAUGUCUGUGCCUUCUGCUAAUGCAAAUAUCAUUCCUGGACCUGGAGUCGUGCAGUUCCAAAAGUCCUAUGGAUAGCUAGGGUUGGCAAUUCAAAGGUUGAUUCCUCAUCCUAUAUAUAUUCAUUAUGUUCAGCAUCUUUCUUUGAAUGCAUUUGUUGGCAGGCAUCAAUUAGAUCCAAUGAUAUCAAGGGGCAACAUUGUUGAGCACCUCGCAAAUAGUUAUGAUCAACAAAAGGUGCCAUCUGCUGCAUCUUCACUUGUUCAGAGGCCUCAGUUACUGCAAAAUGGAGAUGCUGGCUUGCCAAGCCCUAUAGAAAGUGGAACUGCAAGUCCAAAUUAUCAUGGAAGCCCCCCAUAUUGAAAGUACUGACAUCAUAUCCCACUUUGCCUCUUUCCAUUCUUGUGUUUCAAGGAUCACCUGGGACAAGCCUUUCACGAAGGAGAAAUGACAAUACAAGGUUGGCACUUACUUCUAGUAGAAAAAUAAAUGCUAGUUCUGGAUGGCAGGGACAACUAGGAUGUGAAAUGGUUGAUGGUCCAAAGUCACACUCUGUUCUUGAAGAGUUGAAGUCCCAAAGGAGUCGUAGAUAUGAGCUACAUGACGUUGCUGGGUGCAUUGUUGAGUUCAGGUAAGUUCAUAUUGCCAAUUUUAUUUCAAUUUCAUGUCUAUAUAAAAUCUAAAUUUCAGCAUAACUUUGCUGGAAAGAAAUUAACCUGUCUUGCCAAAGCAUUGCCAACCAAUAUGGGAGUUGAUUCAUUAAACAGAAGUUAGAAGACUGUGGUAUUGAAGAGAAGGCAUCUCUUUUUGGGGAAAUCCUUCUUCAUGCUUAAAUAUUAAUGCUAGAUGUCUCUGGGAAUUAUGUAAUUUAAAAAGUAUACUUGUUAAAUUUUUGGCAUUUUUUUUGUCACAGAUGUUAUUAUUCCAGCAGAAAAUACUUACACUCAUUAGCUUGAGGAGACCAGGCAGAUAAACUUUUUAUCUUAUACAGAUCUUUGAGCAUGGAAUCCCUGAGCAGAGGAGAGAACUUGCAAAUCAGCUUGCUGACCAUAUCUUAUCUUUGAGCUUUCAAAUGUAUGGCUAUGAUGUUAUUGAAAAGGUACUGGUGUAUUUUCCUAGCUCAUAAAAUCUUUUUUCACUAUAUUUUUGUUUUUAAUUGAUUCAAGAAAGUUUUUGCAGUGGCCUGUUCUACAAUAUGUACAUCUCAACUAACUUUGGCUCUCAAGACUCAUUUUUGCAUUAAGUAUUCUCAAUCUUUCUUUUUAUUGACAUAGAGUCGUUGAGCAAUGUACUGAUGAGUUGCAGAGUCAGUGCAUAUAGUAGAUGAGAUCUUGCAGUCUGCUUAUAUUCUUUCCAGAAACCAGUAUGGGAAUUAUGUUACACAGGUGAUGCUUUAUUUGUCUUUCUUUCUGUAAAAUUGAUUUCUUUUAUUCUCAUGGUACCAUAUCAUCGCGCCCACCGAGAUUCCGCUCUCUGACCUAUAGGGAAAUUCAUUAGCGAGAUCUUAUGAUGGUUAUAGAUUGCAUGGACUGUUUGAUGCUGCAUUUUUAAAUCGGGAAGUACUUGGCAUAUUUUCUCAGCAUGCUGAUGAACCACAUUGAUCAAACCAAACAACUUUCUCUCUCUCUCUCUCUCUCUCUCUCUCUCUCUCUCUCACAAUAUGNNNNNNNNNNNNNNNNNNNNCUGAUGAACCACAUUGAUCAACCAAACAACUUCUCUCUCUCUCUCUCUCUCUCUCUCACACACACACACACAAUACGCAUUUGAGGUGUGUCAUCAAUAAUAUUCUUCUUUUCCGCUUGAUAAGUGGCCAUUGGUGAACAAAGAGUAGGUUCGCAUUAAGAACAAGAUUGUUUCAUGUGGUUGUCAGCGUAAUCACAUAUAGGCAUUGUUUGAUAUAGUUGUAGAUAGUAGAGCUUUGGACCAUAGAGCUUUUGCUAGUAGAGCUUUAAUGAAAAGCUUUAUAUUGUUUGGUAACUAUAGUACCAAAGUGUUGUGUAACUUUAACAUCUGUUAGGUAUGCAAACUAAGAGGUCUUGGAUAUUUAACAUUUGUAUAACUUUAACAACCAUGUAACUUUAACAUCUGUUUGGCACAUUUGAGAAGCUUAAUAAGUUGAUACAUCUUGAGAGGUCUCGGAAGCUAAUACCAGCUUUUUACAUGUAUUUUAAUCCUAAAAUGUUUAGAUGUGGGCCAUGUGGCUGCUGCAUAGGGUGCUUACAAAUAGGUUUGCAAAUCAAGGUUUUAAAUACUGGUAUUGAACCUUGUAUCGUUUUUUCUAUCAAAAUGGUACGAUAUUGGUACGGUACUGUCGGUGAUGAUACAUACCAAAAUCGACAGCUUUCAAAAAAUGAAAAAAUAUCAUAUUGACCAGUACGGUCGGUAUGGUACCGCUGAUAUGCACUAGUACACACCUCUAUGGCUGGCGUGUACCGGUAGGACUGACGCAUACAUGUAUGGUUGUUUCAACAUCCUGUCACCUGUACUAGUACCGGUUUGUGCCGAAACGAAAUGGUACCAGUCAUAUCAUCCUAUUUCAGACUUUCAGUGGUUUUUGAAACCAUGCUAUUUCCUCCAAGUUUCUUGGUGUACUAUUGAUGGGCGAAUAAGGAGGAAUAGAAGGCUUUUAACCAAUUAACUCACCUGUUUUUAGUCAAAUACUCAUUUGAAUACAUGGGCUAAACUGCUUUAGAAGGGCAAAUUGGAUAUUUCAGAAAUUGACCCAAGAAUAACUUGCUCUUAUGAAAAACAGUGGAAUAAUUUAACCCACCUUUUCCCCCUUGAACUUACUCUAUUUAACCCAACUAAUUUGUACUUUUACUCUAUAACCAAACACAGCCUUAUAGUCUAAAAGUAUUGUAGUGAUAUGUAUGGAUUGCACGAACCAUACCACAACCAUCUAGCCUUUUCUCAACUAUUCAGGGUUUGCUAUUGCCCCAAUCGUAGUUUAAAUGAAAAGUUAUUUGUCAUAUAUGAAGCUUGAUUUGUUUGGGCUUUUCAUUGCUGGUUAUAUGAUCUUACACUUGAUCUUUGAUAAGUACUUCCUGGAUUCAAGUUCUUCCUGUUUUCCAUUUUCUUGGACAAUGAUGAAGGACUAAUUUGCAAAUUAUGUGGUUCAAAAGAUUCUUGAAGCAUGUAUUGACAAGCAACGGGAUACAUUGCUUAAUUGCAUAGAAGUUCACCAACAAGCUUCAAAGAAAUACUUAUGAGAAACACAUCAUUGCUCAGAUGGAACAUCUAUGCAGUAAAGAUACAUUCUACUUUAACAGAUCAAAUAUUUUUUCAUUUACAUGUUGGAAUAAGGGACUAUACGUAAUUGCUUGUUUUAUUAAUUUUCCUUAUAGUUACAAUAAAUAAUUUUUUUUAAUUAUUUUUUGUUAGGAAUCAUAGCAUUAUCUAAAAUUUAAGUCAUGUUAAUGUUAGUGCGGUCCUUUUCUUUGGCGUAUUUCUGAUUUUUUGUUUUCCUUUUUCUUUUUAAAUUUCAAACACUAUUUCCUGCCAUAGUCUUGUGUAUCAUGAAUACAAUAAGUUCUACCAUAGACUGGGCACUUCCAUUGCCUUAUCAUCGUAUUUAUGCUGGUUAUGUUUCUUCCUUUCCCUUUUAUUUUAGGGAUGGUGGUGGAUGUGAUAAUUUCACACAUUGCUGAGUUUAAACGUGGGGUAUUCAAAAUGAAAAAAAGGCUACAGAAUGGGAAAAAAGGUCAUAACUGUUGAAUAUGAUUUCAGGUCCAACUUGGCUGGUCCAACUUCUGAAUGGACUAGUACGGCAAAUUGGUGCUUGACAAAUUGGAAUGGGCUCAAAUUUAUCAACCGAUUGAGAUUUGGAUCAAUCUUGGAUUUACAUUUAGGGCCUGUUUGGAAAAUCCAGCAAGAUUAAGCUGGAUUUUCUAUUGGAUUCAAGGAGUGGACAGUCUAUUUGGAUAGGGCCCAUAUUAACACAUACCUCCCUCAGUCCAAAUCCUGUGGGAUGAAAAAAAAAAGACCUCCAUAGGUCUUUUUCCAUCCUGCAGACCAACAGGCCUACAUAUAAGAUUUAGGCUAUGAUUAGGACAGGCCUUUAGAAGAAUACAGGCUGGGAAGUCCAACAGGGCUGAUUCAUGCAGAAAAUCCAGCCUAAUCCCACUAGACUUUCCAAACAGACCCUUAGUUGUUUAGAUUUUCAUUUUGCAACCAGUAUUUGAAUUUGCCAGUGUGUAGACUCCUCUCUUUCCACCCUUUGUGUAUCUUUUGUACUACAUAUUUAUCUCUUUGGGUUCAGCUAUGGAUGCAGACCCCCCCCCCCCCCCCCUCCUUCCCCUCCUCUUCUCUCUCUACGCACGCACACCCACAUGUGUCUAAAUAUCUUGUGCACACACAGAUCAUAAGAAUCAUGUUGCACAUUGAUUGCAUAGCACACGAUGUAAUAAGCACCACUUUUUUCUGUGAUAGUUAUCUUAUUAUAGGCUUUUAUUUAUUUGCUUAUUCUCAAAUUCCAUAGCAUAAGUUCUGUACUUCUAAUUAGUAAUGCUUUGAAGAAUCCAAUUUUUUAUUGCUGCAUAUUUAUCUCAGAGGCAGCAUUCAGUGGUUUUGAUGGGAUAAGGAUGGUUGCUUAAGGGUAUUUUAUUUUAUUCUUAUUCUUUCAACUGUAAGUUUGUGACUGGAAACCAUCAUUCUGAGGCAUGAAAUUUGAAUGAAAAAGCUACAUGAAGACCUGCUAUGCAAUUCAGUUUUGAAUCAUUGUCUGGGCUUGCGCUACCUAAUCCUGAUAAUGAUGAAGAAAACUUGUAAUUUGAAAAGUUUAAUUGGGAGCAGCUGACAACUACCUUAAAGUUGUACAGUUCAGGGCUUCAUAAGUAGUUUUAUACCAUAUAUACGGACAUAUAAUGUGUUAUAUAUUUAAAAACGAAGAAUGGAAUUUAUGCAUUCCUACAUUAUAUACACAUUGCUUCCCCGUCUUAGUGUACAUAAUUCUAUCAUUUGGUUGAUUUUGUAAGAAAUUCAAUUGCAGCUUGUGUCUGCUGUUAAUUAUCAAACUUUGCUUAUUUUAAAGGAUGGUAUCUUAAAGAAUGGAUGGCUUUGAUGUCUGAUAUAGCUAUGAGUCUCAUGUCGAAGAAACUAAAAUAGAAACAGCUUAUGGCUAAAUAAUCUGUGUAUGAUAAAUUUUUUUUUCUCAGGAGGGAUUCUGUGCUGUGGUUGGUUUGUUGAUUGUAUAAUUUUGUCAAACAUUCCCUGCCAUCCCUGUAUGUCAAGAUGCUGCAAAAUUUAAGGCAAUUUUGAUUUAGCCGUUUUUGCAUAUAAUUAUGCAUAGAUCAUGCGAGGUUGCAUAUAAUUUUGACUUAUCUUGAAAAUUUUUCCUAGUUCCUAAUUUUUCAAGAUAAGUCACUUUUGGAUAAGGAUUACUAAGGUGUCACAAUCUUGUCUUACGAUCUCCUCACCUAAGGAGAGGGGGCACGUGCUGCGCACGUGAUUCUGGAGAGCGUUAAACAGAGGUCCAGAUGAAGAGUAUGUAUGGUAAACAGUAGUCCAGAAGACGCAGCAAAUAAGGCAAAAAGUUUAUUUUCUGUAAGAGAGAGAGAGAGAGAGAGAUUCAGAGUAUUUUUCCUUAGGUAUUGUAAUCUAAUAAAUAUCAAAAUAUUGGCUCUUGGUUUAGCUUUGGGUUUGUAAUCUCGUAAAUAUACAUGCUUGGUUUCCUGCCAGAGUUUAUAAUCCAAAUCUUUGAUGACCAUCCACUUUACAUAGAUUCAAUGAGCAGAAAUAUACUGGAUGGUACUAACCAGAAGCCACAUUUCGAGCGCUUGAUCAAGAUGCAGAGAAAGUGGCAGCAGUUGUGGUUCUGGAUUUCUUGUCAAAGGGAAAGUUAUGCAGCACGUAAUCUUGCAAGUUUUUUUCUGUGACAAAAAGGUUUCCACGGAGGAAUGAGCUAUCGUGUAUACAGGGAAGCAAUAUCAAACCGCUACGAUUGCUGACCCAGAUUAAGUUGCAUAUCAGGUCCCCUCUCCCCGGUCAUGGAAAACUCUUCGGGAAUGGGAAUCUUAAGUUCAGAGCAAACCAGCUGAAUUAUGCUUCUUGGGACACCCCCGAGAGACAUCUUGUUUACAGUCACAGCAAUGGAGAAAUCAUGCUCUAUGUUGCAAAAGCCAACGGAUCCACCAAUUCCAGCAUGCCCAAAGCUUGUGAAGUUAGUGCUGCCAGGUUUAUAUCUCCGAAAUCCAAGCCCAAAUUUGCCAUCCGCGACAACCAAGUGUGAGUAGUCACCCAAACCCAUGAAGGCAUCAUGGAUUUUAGGAUUGCUAAAGAUCUUACUAACGUUAUUACCAGCUUCAUCAUCGACAUUGGCUAUGAGACUAUAACCCUGAUCAUCAGUGGUACUUGCACUACGAUCAUUGCCAUCGUGCAGGGGGUUGCUGACGCCGUUGGCUGCUAUUGCGCUACCAUUUUGUGGCUCGGGAUCAGCUAUCUCCUUGUCCUUGCUGCCCCUUUUCUUUCGAGGCUUUUUGAAGGGAGCAAACCUGGGGAUGUGGAUGUGACUGCCAAGAAGAGGCUUGGUGUGGUGCGAGUGUGGUGGAGGGACGGAACCUCCUGCUGCGAGAGCUGCAUAGUAGCGCGCUAGCGCCCGCGCCGAGCAGUGGCCGUUGGCAGCGGGAAUGAUGGCACGGCGCACGUUGAGCGUGUUGAAGAGAAGUGGAAGGCCGGAUGCAAUCUCCGCUGCAUUUCCCUCACGUAAACUGGCUGGCACGCCUCGCAGUGUACUACUGAUUGCUGAGAGCUUUUCCAGAUCUUCCCUGUCGAGUGUAAGUGUUGCCAGUCGAGAUUCCACACCUGUAGAAGGAUUCAAAUUUUAGACAAGGUCUUUCCUAACAAGCAAAUGAUUGUAAAUUUUCUUUUUAUAAAAAAAAUUUAAUAAAAAUAAAUUAAUAUACUUCAUGCGAAACCAACAAACAUAUUGGAGGUAAUAACAACAAUGGAAAAAUACUUAUAUAUAAUAUAUAUUGCAGCUAAAGAAAACAAUGAUGAAAAAAAUAUAAGUUCAAAAGCAUGUUUAUGGAUGAAAUGCAUCAGGCACUUGCUGAGAUUAUGGACUCAAGAACAUGCCUAAUAAUAAAUUUGGACCUAGAUAUAAAUAAAGAUUUUAUACAUGCCUGGAGGAAUGCCAAUAUAUAGCUCGCCUUCGAUGUUGAGUGGGUGAAUUAUAGCUUCCUCCAACACGUCUUGAAAUUUCUUUCCAUAUGCAUGCUGUUUCAACCAAAUAAUUUUAGAAGAAUUGAAUCAAAAGGACAAGAAUACCUAAAAGAACGAACAAAUCCAAGCCAAAAAGAACAUGAAGAAUAUAACAAACAAGUUAGAAAGAAAACCAUGGGAAAUUAAAUAAGCACCCUCCAAUGCCUAUUCUUACAUGCUGAGGAACAUCUCAGAGUUUUGUAAUAUCAUGAAUGUCUGAAUAAUUCAUGGCACAAUAUCUAAAGCCUGACAUUGCUUUUGUGGUGACAAGCAGAACCAAAGCUUUGAUUAUUUCGAACGAGCAAAAAUAUAUCUUGCUAUAAAUUUAUGUAGGAGCGAAACAUUUGGACAAGAAUCCUUGCCUGCUGUGGUAUUUUGAAAAGUAAAAAAGGCAUACCUCUAUAACUCCACCACAGAGCCAACCAAAGGACAAUGAAUGAUAUAGCUGCUGGGAACCAGGUUCAGUCUCAGGGACUGACUUGGCAAUGUGUUGUAGAGACUCUUCCCAGUCACACAUUAAUAAAGGAUCGUUCUUCAUAACAUCAACCAUUGCAUUGUGCAAACCAGAUGUAUGGUUAAGGAUAUGGUGGACCUACACAAGAAGACGAAAUAAUCGGUGAAACGAGGAAACAAUCUCUUAAUGCCUCACAAGAAGUUGGCAAUCAUUUACAUUUUACGGUACAAAAGUUAAACAUUUUCUUUACCUUUAUUAGAUCUUUUUUAUUGGUAGCGAAAUCUGGCCAAAUAUUGGCAAUGGUCUCCUCAAGCUUGACUUUCCUGCAGGAACAAUUAAACCAUUUCUUAUGGUUCCACUACCCAAAAGAUUCCUUAGAUUUAUGCACUGAGCAAAAUGUAAAACAAGAUCUAGCUGGUGCAUAUGAAAGCUACAUAUAUUAUAUGGACUAGUCUGAUGUGUUAGAAUGUCAGUGCUAAGUGCUCAUAGAACCAGGCACGUUUCAUUUACUAAAUCUAGCUCAUGUUGUGUCGGAACUUGUAAGACCUCGUAUUCUAUAUCUAUCCACGACAGCUAACGCAAAUAUUGGUAUUGGAACGAAUCUGUAGUGUGCCUUGUUCCAUAGGACUACCAAGUUACAUCUGACAAUAUAUCAAAUGGUUCUCCAAGGCAUACAAACCUCAUGCGGAAUCUAUAUCCGCUCAUAAUUUUUCAUUGACUGUCUAAAAAACUUCUUGGCAGAAAGCCUUGCAGGUCACCGACCUUGAUAUUUGUUCCAUCAUACUCUCCCUAAUAAACAUCUCAAUCAGCAACUCUCCAUCCUUAUCUAACAUUGUAUAUACAAUUUUUACCAUGGUAUAUGAUGCCGUAUUGAACCACUGGUUCAGUCAGUAUAGUACCUAACCACGAACUAGGACGGUUCAUAGCCUCGAUACGAAAUGGGCCCAAACCACUCAGUUCUGAUCCUUACCGUGUCGAGCCACUCAGAACCAAACUGUUCUAGGUGGUUUAGCAGGGUAAGGACCAUGUUCAGGCCUAAUUAACCCUUUCCCCUCGAUAAUUGAGAGCGCUUCAGCUCAGUACGGGUUGGUACAGUACAGUACCAAUAAAGUACCAUACCAGUCUACCACUAGUACACAAUUCAAUACUAAGAUUGCAAACCUUGAGUUUUUACCAAAACUAAAUUAAAAUCAGUUUUAAUGCACUGAUUUCCUAUAUAUGUCUCACAAAUUUGGCAUUCUGUAUACAUUCUUCUCACAUAUUAAUAAAGCCUAUUAGUUAUAUAAAUUAGACGGUUCCGUGCCUAGCCAUAUUGGCUACUUCGCAUCCUUGGUAAUUUUAUAUAUUUCAAAAGUCAUAUAGAUAUGACCUACAUACAUCUCAAAAUACGAAUAAAACUAGUUUACCGCUGUCAAACUGCAUCAGCAUUUAUUCUCUACAAAUAAACUUGUAUUUAAUCCAUUAGUAAACACAUUGGUAUCCUUGAUUUGCUUGUUAGCAUGCAAUUUAGCCACGCAUUCCCAUCACUAGUUUAUGGGAUCGACAAACUAGUGUAUUUCCCUCUGAAGGCAUGAUAUUGGAUGAUCUCCUUCAUGAUAGCCUAUUAGAAUUCUCCAUGCACAAUAGUUUUUUUUUCCAAUUAUGAAAUUUAUGGAACAAUUCACAAGUGUUAUAGUAAAGAUACAAUCUCAUUUGGGCAUAAAGAUAAAUAUCUACAGUUGAAAACAGCUUGCACUCAAAGCAUUAUGUAAACUCAACUCCUGUAUAGACACUAGAUGAUAUAUACAUAUGCAAAUUCAUACAAAAAGCAAAAAAGAAGAUGACAAUAUUGUUCUACCAUAUUUUUCUAACAUGCUCUCGAAAUCAAAAUAUAUACACCAUGAAAAUGCCACAAGAAACGUGAAUGACCUUACAUUAUGCAGCAGAUCUUUGAUGCAAAACGUGUAAGAGCAGCAAAAUGAGCUAAGAUCAUGACUGAAUAAGGGAGACAAAGGGUUAAUAGUCCGAUCAACAAAAUAAGCCAAGAUGAUGGUUGAGGACCCAUGACUACAAAAGAGGGUUGCAAGCAUCAAAUUGCACCAAAGAAACCAGUGUUGCUAGUAAUGGGUUACAUCAGCAAGUGAGCACAUUUGGUAUCAAAGAAGCUACAUGGCAAAACCAUAAUGAAAGUAAACUGACAAAAAUUGCGACUUUUGUGGUCUAUCCUUGAAAUGAAAGCCUUAUGAAGCAGCGCAAAUGUUCAGAUGAUCCUUUAGAAUGUAGAGCUGCAGGUUGAUUAAGUAGGUGAUACAGGCUGGCAGCAAGGGCAAUUGGUUGAUAAAACAGACAAGCAAUCCAAGUUGGAGUGAACUGGCAAGUAAAGAGUGAAAACAUAACAGUUAUGAAGUGGGAAGCAAUGCCUUGCAUGUGUGAUGUUACAGAACUGGAUGCAAGCAAUGCUAAUGAGAGACACAUUACUCACAUUACAAUGAAGGCAAAUGAGAUGCAUGCCAAGAAUCUAGAGACAAUUAAACAAGCCAAGGGAAUGUGAAGGUGCAGGGAAUUGUUCUGUAGAAACAAUUCAGCAGUAAGUUCAAACAGCAAAGGUCUCAAGUCAAUAGACAUAGUAGACUAAUUUGAAACCUAAUACUGAUGAGACAAGAAAAAGAUAGUCACACUCUCAAAGUCUCAAAGAAGCUAGUGAGGGAGCAGGUGAUGGUAAUUGAGGUAUCGCCGCUACAUAUAGUGAUAUAAAUGUGAUUUUAAGAAAAAAAUUGGUUUAACAAGGAAAACACUGCAAAAGGUGCCUAAAUCAAAAUAUAUGUAGGCUGACAGUCUACAAAAUACACCAACUAUGAAACAACUAUGAAGUGCAUGCAUGAUUAACAAAGUAUCAUGACUUAAUAAGGAAAACAGCUCACCUAAAGGGUAAAAAUCUAAAUAUAUGUAGACUGGCAGUCUACAAAAUACAGCAAAUAUGAGGUCCAGAUAUAGAAGCAUUUGGCAGUCUAUAAAAUACUCGUACAUGGACAACAUACUCUAUAAUUGCUAUAAUGCAUAUGCAAGAGUGCUAGCUUUCUCUAAGCGCAAAUGUUUUCACAUAAGAAUAUCUUAAAUCUAUGACAUAGAAGGUUUCAUAAAUAAAACAAUAAAAAGUACUCAAUAUAGUAUUUUACCCCUUAUCAACAAGCCAAUGUACAAUUCCUGCAGUGAUCCCUUUUGUUACAGAGAAAACUGGAAAUAGGGUGUCAGGUUGAACAGGUCGAGGAUCAUAUCUCCCUAGCACACCAGCAGCAGUAUCUAUUAUAACCUUUCCAUCUUUGUAGGCACACACCUGAAAGAUGUCACACCAUCCAACAGUGUAAGUAAAUAUAAGUACAGCAACGUACUUGAACGACGACUCAUCAAAUUCAAUGCCUUUGAGUAGAGAUACAAAGACAAAUAGGAAAGCUUCUUAGAAGAAUCUAAAUUAAUAUUCAUUGCCAUGAAUAAAGUUUAGUCUUCUUUAAGAAUCAGAGGAACAAUCAUCCUUGAGUCAUUAAUUAAUGCAACUUGUCAAUGCCAUUAAACGUGAAUAAAGACAUAAUAAAUCACAAAUCAUUUCAUAAUUCAAACAUACUUGUAUUCCAAGUAUUUUAUCAUUUCCCAGUUCAAGUAGGAGCUGCCUCAGCUUGGCCUCCACAUCAGAGUGAACUGGUGAAUCAUAAAUCCACUGUGUAUUCUUUGCUGGUCCAGUCCUGAUGCUUCUGAUGUCCACAUGGAAUACAUAAAGUUGGAUGAAAGAGAAAGAAACAAAAUAUGAAAAAUGACGAUAUAUCAGCGUUAAGCUACAAUAGUGAAGCCCAACAAGGAGAAUCUGCAAGGAAGCUAUGAGUUCACCCUAGCAAAGUUGACUCGGCAAACGGUCUCAUGAUAUCUAAAUAAACUAUUCGGACGUCCAGUGUAGAUGAAAGCCCUGCAAAAGCAUGGAAACCAGAGAGUUUAUUAUCAGUACACAAUUAUUUUUACUGCAUCACAGGAAUAGACAAGUUUGACACAAACCUCGAAGAAGAUUUACCACCCUCAUAAAUAUAACUGCAUCACCUGGGAAAGCAUCAAUCUGAAAAAGGAAUGUUGAAGCAGUCCAUGACAUGAAUAGUCGUCUAUAGUUUGUCUUCCACAACUCAAAGGAAAGAUCAGAACUGUGAAUAUACAAGCACUUACAGGAUUAAAGCGUCGGACUUCCUUUUUGUUUAGCCUCGUCUUUUCUUGGAGGAUCUUCAAAUUCUUCUCUCUUUGAUCAGCCAUAGAUUUUAUGUUUUCCUUAGCAGAAGAAUACAGAAUAUGACUUGUUGGAACUAACCAGUCAAUCUAAAUGAAAUUUUCUCGAAUAAGAAAGAACUAAAAAUAGAAAAAUAUCAAUCUAAGAUGCAAACCGCAAGGCAUCCUUACAAGUGCUUCAUUUGCUGGCGUGGAAGUGCGAAAGAAAACAGUUGCAAUGUCCAUAGCCUGCUCUGGCAUGUCAAGGCGCAAUUUAAGUCCCAUCUCUGCAAAGGCAGAUAGCAGAGCCACAUGGUCCCCCUGACAUGUAAUGUUGCAAACGUAGUAAGAUAACCAUUCCUUGAAGGGGAUAAGUAGAAAUGUAUUCAGACAAAUAUCUGAUUAGUUGGGUUUUUUAUUAGUGACUUGUCAAAAUAUUUCUAUCCGCAAUUUUAUUAUGCAUGAAUUUUUUCCAAUUUCCAGCUUUUCGAAAAAUUAAGGUUACUGGUUCUAUUAUAAGGUAAGCAACCACACGUAAUGCCAAUGGUAUUUCACUUCUACUGGCUUUGGAUAAUGCUAGUAGACGUCGGUGUUGAAAAACUUUAUGCACCUUGGAAAUUUUAAAGGCACAACGAUAAUCUAAGGAAAAGUCUGCAGUGUCUUGUUUACAAUCAACAUCUACUAUCUCCUGUAUUUUCUUCUAACUAUAUUAAAAGGACUACUAAAUAAAACCGACUAUGAUAGUAAAUGAAAAAUAAAACAUCAACAACCUGCAAAGAAGGAUAUCAGCUGUUGAUCACCAUAAAGCAUAAAACAUCAUAUUUUAAGUUCUCAUUUCCUGCUUCAUAUAAAAGGAAAGAGAUGUUACAAACCUCAGCACAUGCCAAGAACAUUUUUGCUAGUGCCUGUUUCAUAGAGCUUGACAGUGAUUUUGUAAGCCCAAAGUCGAGCAAAAUUGGGCGAUGUGGGGCCUCCUUGCUCACAAGAAAAUUUCCUACAAGAAAGAUCCACCCACUUCAAGAGAUAUGAGAUGAACCAUAACCAUGUGAUGCUGAAUGCUAAAUUAUUUACGUCAGUUGAACAUGUUUCAAAAGAAUGGCUUGAAGCAGACACACCAGGAUGAGGAUCGCCAUUAAAAAAUCCAUCAACAUAUAUCUGAUGAGCAUAGGCACGUGUGAUUUCUUCAACAAGCUUUUGUUUGUCGAUGCCAUAUGCUUCCAAUGAUUCAUUAUCAUUUAAGCGAAUGCCAUUCAUAUAUUGCAAAAUGAGCACCUUCUCAGAUGACUGCCAUGCGAAAUCAGGAGGAAGGAUAAGAAGACUAGGAUAAUAGUAGCAUGUCCCUUCACUAGAUCAAAACUUUUGAAGCAAUAAUUAGAAACUGAGGAGCUGCACCUGAAUAACUUCUGGAAUCAACACAUCUACACAAUUAGCAUGACAUGUGCCAUCAUGUUCACUUUUGCGGUGGAGGUUUCUGGAAACUGUUCUAGUAUUUUCUGCAAACAUAAUGAUGAAUGUGAAGUGUGCAUGUCUUUGGUGGUAUCAAGCUAAGUAGCUGUAUUCAUAGAUAUUGCAGUAACAGCAUAAUUGAGAGACAAGUACCCAUGUGAUAUAUUUUUCUCAAGGUAUCCUUAUGUGCAUACCUGCUUCAUUAUUAAAGUCGAGUUCUUUGGGUGCCUCCUUGCACCAUUCAUCUAUCAUCGGGUUAAAGUCGUAUUGUGGCUCUGCCCAGGCUAUCCAGUCAGUUAUUGAUUUAGCAUUUUUCAGAUCCUGAAGAUCAAUACAAAUAAUGUAACGACUGCUAGACCUUAGUUUAAUUGCAAUCAUGUUGAAAUAAUCAAAUGGGAAACCUCUAAUAUGAUUUCCUUGAUGCCCUUAUGUUGAACUUUGGCGACCACCUCCUGCCCAUCUUUCAGUGUUGCACGGUGAACUUGUGCUAUCUGCAUUGUGCCAUAUUUAGGCAAAAUCACAUAUAUCAUUUCAGCUGACACUGAGCCAUAACACCAUCUCAAGGAACAUGCAAAUCAUUGAAUAUCAAUUUUCAGAUCUAAAUUCAAAGCUCAUUCGCAGCUUUACUUACAGAUGCAGUUGCAAGAGGCCUCUCAACAAAAUCAGAGAAUAAAUCAUUCAUGGAUUUCCCCAACUCCUUCUCUAUAGUUUGGCAAACCUGUUCAGAAACAGGAAAAAUUCAACAUAAUGAAAUGAUAAAAGGACCUUAGAUUUAGUAAAGCUUAAUUUAUACAUAUACAUACACAAAGGAAAAAUCAAUGAUUAACGAUUGGAUAAUCAGGAGCAUGAAACCAACUAGACAUGCACUUGGAGUAUCAUGAAAAGGCGAAGAACAGAAAACACAAAGCAAAAGAAAGGCUCAGAAUCAAAAAGACGUCUCUUUUACGAAUUAUUUCAAAUGCGAAGUUGCCUAGUUCAUUCAUAAAACACUAAUCACCUCUUGCAAGGGGCGAGGAGGAAGAGAGUCUUGCAACUGUUUGAGGAGACAUAUAUAGGCCUCUGGAAGUACAUCUGCUCGAGUAGAUAAAUACUGGCCAAGUUUUACCCACAAACCUUCCAACUUCACUAUUAGAUUGAGAACACGUCUAGCAUUGCGUUCGUGGGUUCUUUCCCAUAAAGCAUCUCGUUUGCUUCUGUUAAUCCAUUUUGCUCUCUUCUGCACAGCCUGCAGCAUUAAAGGGCACUGCUGAUUUCCAAUGCAGAGAAAUAGAGAAAAAGUAAUGAUCAACAAGAAGACCAAAUAUGAUCCAGAAGACAAACAGACCUUAUAGUCCAGGUAGAUCAUCAAUGCAAGUGUGAAUACUUUCAAGCGCCUUUUGUAAAUGUCUCCCCAUCCCAUCAGAAUUUGAAAGUUGAUCGACUACCACAACUUCUACAGUGCUGCAAUGCCAGCGCUGAGUUAGUAAUUUGUUUACAUUCGUUACAAAGGAAGGAAUGCAGUGAUGCAGUGCACAUUGUUUAAGGUUACAUGAACUACAUGUUUCCAAGGGAUUUCACCCUGGGAAGAUAAUGACGGUGAGGGUUGGGAUUUUGGAUUUUGUGCCCUCUAAGUAUACAGAUACAAAAGAGUUCCAGGCAUCAAAGAAUAAUAUACUAGCAUUCUCAGUCACUGUAAUCAAUGUCAUCCAAUGUAAUAUAUCCUCCUAAAUGGUUAAAGAGAAAAAUUAACCGAAUACAUGCAGAAAUAGUUAGACUUAUAUGAAAUUGGCUGGAUUUUCCCCCUAAUAUGAAAAUCUUGGGCAUGGAUUCUGAUGAACUUCUACCUUGUUCAUUUCUAAUCUUAAUAAAAAUGAUGGCACGCCCAUUAUUUUUUUCUUCAGACAAGCCGAUUACUUAACUCCCUGGAGACAAUAUUUGCCAGUUUCUUCUCCAAGAUUUCAUGAAAUUCCUAUCAGUCGUUAGUUAGUUAAUAUAUAUAUAUAUAUAUAUAUAUAUAUAUAUAUAGAGAGAGAGAGAGAGAGAGAGAGAGAGAGAGAGAGAGAGAGAGAGAGAGAGAGAGAGAGAGNNNNNNNNNNNNNNNNNNNNNNNNNNNNNNNNNNNNNNNNNNNNNNNNNNNNNNNNNNNNNNNNNNNNNNNNNNNNNNNNNNNNNNNNNNNNNNNNNNNNNNNNNNNNNNNNNNNNNNNNNNNNNNNNNNNNNNNNNNNNNNNNNNNNNNNNNNNNNNNNNNNNNNNNNNNNNNNNNNNNNNNNNNNNNNNNNNNNNNNNNNNNNNNNNNNNNNNNNNNNNNNNNNNNNNNNNNNNNNNNNNNNNNNNNNNNNNNNNNNNNNNNNNNNNNNNNNNNNNNNNNNNNNNNNNNNNNNNNNNNNNNNNNNNNNNNNNNNNNNNNNNNNNNNNNNNNNNNNNNNNNNNNNNNNNNNNNNNNNNNNNNNNNNNNNNNNNNNNNNNNNNNNNNNNNNNNNNNNNNNNNNNNNNNNNNNNNNNNNNNNNNNNNNNNNNNNNNNNNNNNNNNNNNNNNNNNNNNNNNNNNNNNNNNNNNNNNNNNNNNNNNNNNNNNNNNNNNNNNNNNNNNNNNNNNNNNNNNNNNNNNNNNNNNNNNNNNNNNNNNNNNNNNNNNNNNNNNNNNNNNNNNNNNNNNNNNNNNNNNNNNNNNNNNNNNNNNNNNNNNNNNNNNNNNNNNNNNNNNNNNNNNNNNNNNNNNNNNNNNNNNNNNNNNNNNNNNNNNNNNNNNNNNNNNNNNNNNNNGACGGAGCGCCAAGAAGAAGGAAAAAAAUAAUAUAUAUAUAUAUAUAUAUAUAUAUAAGUAAAAAUAAAAAAAUCGUUUUUGCUCAGCCUUCAUAUAAUAAAUAAUUUUUUUAGUAGAUUAAAAAAAUAUUUGAGAUUAGAAAUAAAUUAUAUUUAUAUCUAAUAACUUGAAAACUUUAUGCUUACCCUCCAAUAACUUAUGUUUAUCGAAUAUUUUAACUCAUAAUUUAACAAAAAAUUAGUCAAACUGUUGACUUUAAAUAGGACUCAUACUGUAUCAAAAAAAAAAUAGAAUGAGCAAAAUAAAAUAACAAGGACAUAAAAAAUAUAUGGGUCUUUCUCCCCACUCAAGGGUAGUUUUGAUUUUUGCAUAACAUAAAUAAUUUUAGUGGCACUAGUAGGAUGUAUAAACUAUUAGAUAUAAAUAUAAUAUAUGUGAAUCUUAUGAGGUUUUUAUAAUUUACUUUUUUUUUAAGAAGUGGUUGGCUUUGACAUCUUCAUCUGUUUAGAAUAAGCAACCCUAAAAUAGUCACGAGGUAUUCAACGCGCUGAUGUUAUGGCUAUGGAGGUGUGGGCAUAUUGGCAAUUUCAUAUAUUUUGUCAUUGUUAGUAAUAGACUUAAUGUUGCCAUGAUGUGGAUGGACGAUGAUUCCAACAAUAUUUGUUUUUGCAUGGAAAGCUUUCUAUGGUUUUGCAUGAAAACGAGCAUGAAUUCUUUGCGGUGCAUGAGCAGCACAAUAUUUUAUGCAGCCAUGGAUGGCCGCUAUCAAGAAAUGAAUAGCCAUCAAACAAAUCAGUUUAUAUGUACAUGCUAUAUCAUAUACAACAUGCAUUGUUUGAUAGUCGUCCAUUUUCUAAUGGCGGCGGCUAUUCUGGAAUGCACAGCAUUUUAGGGCCAUGCCAUCGAGAAUCCUAGUUGGGAAGCAAAAGCCUAGGAGAUUGGUUACCCAAUUGGUUACUUAAUAAAUGACAAUCCACAAUAUUCCACAUUUUGGAUGUAUCGACCACUCAAUGGAACUCAGGGACAGCUGCAAAGAGGAUAUUUCUAAAUGUAUUUAGACCACUUAGUCUCGGCCUUCCCUUCAUACUUGGGCUGGUUUGAGCAGGGCCACGUUAGCUUCGAGGUUUUGGCACUUUCAAACUUUGAUUGGCGUCGGCUAUGCCGUUGACACAUUCAAUGCCGAGAGAAUACGGCUGAAAGGAGGCUCCAACACUGUCUCGUGUAUUGGAGGCAUACUCAGUAGCUUUUGCUCUUUGCUUCGGUUGGAAGAAAAUAAAGAGCAAGGCGACCCAAUAGAAAGCUUCCCAUAAUCUUUGGAAGACGAUAUCCUAGCAGAACAGCUUAGCCAGUGAUGAUCCAAUCAACAGCAACUCAUUUCUCGACACAUGGUUUUCUAAUGGAGCUUAUGAAUAUUUGCAAAAAAAUAUUUAACUUGGGAGUCAUCUCUGAGGCGGAUCUUAUGCAGCAUCUGAAUUUGUAAAUUUUUAUGCCUCGAGAUCCAGUAGUUUCCUUAUUGAUCCUGAAGAUGUAUUUGUAAUCCAUAAACAAAUUAUAUAAUAAAGGAAUCUAGUCUAAGUCUGACAAAAUAAUCUUCAGGGUUGGUUACAUAUUUGCUACACCAAUAUCCUUGCACAAUUGGAGGGAUAAUAUCAUUAUUGAUUUUUUUUUUCUUUUUGGUGCACUAUUAUUAUAAUUUAUCCGAUCAAGCCUAUCAAGAUGUAGCUCAUAUCAUCAGGAUUUGUGUUGAUUAUUUGAACUUAAUUUGGACUCUGAUUCAAGAUAAAUUUGUAUUUAUUAUUUUAAUAUUGUAUCGCCAUGAUGUAUUGAUGUCUCAAGGUAGCAUGUUCAAAUUUUGCAAAUCCAAACCCACUCAUUUACAACCAGUUUGACUUCCAUCCAGUAUGAACUGAUCUUAUAAAACCGUGAUUUCAUGCGGAUUGCCAAGUGCGUGUCAAAUUCCAUCUUUAAAGUUAGGAGAGAGAGAGAGAGAAAGGAGAAGCUAGAUUUUCUGGCUCUUCUACAAUGUUUUUCUUUUGACCUUUUCUCCCUAUAGUAUUUUUUAAAUAAUAUUACCAGACAUUUAUUUUGAAAAAAAAAUUUUGCAUUAAAAGUCAUAAAAAUAUUUUUUAAGCAAUACCAAACAUGCUCUUGACAUAUUUGUGUUAUCAAAAACUUGAUUGCAGCCAAGUAAAAUAUGACCUACCUCACGCAAGAGUCUCCUCCCCUGAGCUUUCUCAAGAGCAACUUCAAUAGUAGCGUGCCGGAUAGUAGGACCAAUGACGGUGCUUUUUUAAUCAUUCACCGUUGGAAGUCCAAUUUAGUGGCAGCUGGGAGUGUUCAUUUAUAUGGCAUCAUAGUUCUGAAUUGAGAGAUUCUUGAGAGCGGAUCCGCCAUGCCAUCAAGAUUAUGAUGGCUUACCAAAAUUUGGUAUGCCAUCAAGAUCGGCCAUACCAAAUUUUGCCUGAGGGCAACUCCAGGACAGUCAUUAGUUGGAUAAAAAGAACGAAUGGAUAUGUGGAUAGAACUUACCCUCUACUGGCUGAUCUACAAAGGAUGACUUCGAUCCUUUCAGCCUUCUAAGCAAUCCGCACAUACAAAGAGGCUAAUAGUAUGGCUAAUUGGAUUGCUUCUCAUGUUGCCCAUCACCCUGGCGGUGUCAUGUGGAACUCCAUCUCUAUGACCCCUAUGGAAUUAUGGGAUAUUUUUACAUGCAGAUGCCUCCAAUCUCUAGUAUCUACGAUAGAAUGAUAUGAUUCAUCUAUUUCAACCAAAAAAACAAGGCUUGAUUCAGCAUCACAUUGAGUUAACACAUCAUUGCACCCUAAUAAUAUUCCUAAAAUGUAAUAACCAAAAAGCUCCUCAAAGUCAUGAUGUUUCUCUUUUCUAGAUCAUUUUCACUUGUAUGUCUGCUUCCUGAAAAUCAAGGAUAAGGUCGUUCGAACCUAUAGAACAGAUCCCAUUCAAGUAGGAUCAAUCAUUCAGUUCACACUCUGUAUUCUAGCUGAUUUAUACUUGCUUCAUUGACUGGCACUAAAGGCUUAUACAUGAGCUAUAUUUCCCAAGAUCAAAUAUGUGCACAAAUGCAUGCAGAGAACAGACGUACCAAAUUUGAUUUCGAGUCCAUGAACUUCCAUCUAUUCAUCAUAGCAGAAAAAAAAGGAUAAAGACAGCAGGACAGUCAAAACUUCUGGUUUAUAACUUCUCUAACUCUAAACUCUUAGAUUGCUUAUCUGUUUAUCUACGACAUGUCUGAAGCACAAAUAUUUCAUGCAAACAAUUUACGUACAAACGAUUUACGUACUCCCACUUCGUAAACAUUAUUAAGCCUCGGAUCUCCUACCACAAAACUCAAACCCGACAAAUUCCCUCUGUUCGCGCCCCACAUGUCAUGACAAAAAAGAAACAACCAAGAAGACCAAGAAAGCUAUAUAAUUUGGUAUAAAUCAUGCAACGAAAUCCGAUCCCAAAAUCAUCAUAACCCCUAUACUUUUUUCUUUCAAAAAAAAACAUUUUUUUACUCGAAGCCCUAUCCUGAUCCAAGAUCAAGAUGCGAUUCGAAUGCAGUAAAACACAGAGCAAGUGAUGUGAAAUAAACAAAAGGGAGGCCAAAUCUGUCACCUGGAAGACGGCAGAAGAGGGGGUGACCAUGGAGGAGGAGUUGACCCCGCCGGAGGAGUCGGCGGUGAGCACGGCCAGGACCAGCUUCUGCUGAAGCUAUUAGGUCGAGGACGCCGACGCCUCGAGGUCACCGGAGAGCCACUUCGCGCUCCAUUUCAGCUAUUUGGUUGAAAAGAUUCUACUCCCAUUCCAAUUCCAAGAUGUAUGAAAAUGUCUAUAUCUUCUAUCCAAGCAACAUAGACAAAGGUCAUUGGAAAUUAAUUGCAUCGCUUGCCAUCAUCUUAAGCACUGCAGAUUCCAAGUAAUCUUCUGCCAGAAAGAGAGUUUUAUAGCAGUAACCUUAUUGAAAAACUUGAUGACUUUCAAUCCACUACAUUUAACUUCUCUCAAUUUUUUGUUUCAUCAUUUAAAUAAUCGGUUGUGAUACAUUUAUCCCAUCAGCACAUCCUUUCCAUCACAAACAUUUCACCAGCCUCCCUCUCCAAUAAAAAUCUGCAUGGGUGGAAUGAGAAAAAAUAGCAUCCCCCAUCAUAAGGUCAUGUCAAUGGAAUCAAAGAAUCAGGAAACAAUAGCAACGAUUAUUUCUUAUAUGUCUAUAGCCGAGGUCUGUCCGCCAGCAGAAUAUCCUUCCAUGCUUCAUAGAACAUCCAAGUGAUGCCCGAGGCAGGCACGACCUUCAGACAGUUAGCACCCCACCCUCUGUAGAGACCUAGCAGACCCUUCUCACGAAUCACCUCUGACAGGGCUGCUGCGAUAUUGGUUGGACAUUUCCCUUGCAGGGCUCCAACCAUCAGCCGCUUCCUUGCCACCUCCAGUGGGAAACUGAUUGUGCUCGCAGCGAAACCUGAAGAGAUGCAAAGAACCAAAAUCAACUCCAGACAAUAGAUUGUACUGUUUUUGUUUUCCUGUUUCCAAUCUCUGGUUGAUAAGAAAGAAACACUUGUUUUCGCAUUUCCUGAAAAUAUAAAACAAUUGAAUAAAAAAGACAAACAUAUUGCCCAGGCCUUUGAUGAAUGGCAAAACCAGUUUCAUUUCUUUAAUCGCAGAGGAUCCAAUUAAGAAGGACAAACAAUGACCAGAGAAUGGUUACGCCAAACGCUGACCUGAGAGAGACCCAAUAAUCAGCAGCUCUGCACGGUUCAAAGAAUUCUUCUUCUUUGCCUGGGAGUAAGAUUUCUUCAAUGUCUCAUACAUGAAAUAGUAGCACGUACUGUAGGGAAGCAUGCCCAUUAGCGUCGGCGAAAUGCCAGCAUAGAAACCACCAAUCCCAUCAUCCUUGAAGAUCUUGCUGAAAGCAAGGCUAAUGCUGGGGUAGACCUCUUGAUUCACAGUCAAACGAUCCUGUGCGCAAUACAGCAAUUGAAAAAUUAGGACAUUCAAAACAAGCAUCAGAUUGUACCAUUCUGAUAUACAGUCGACAGUACGAUAGGGAAAUUAAAUGAUUAAUUGACUCUUGGUGCUCUUCAGAAACCAUUCUGUGCUCCCUAAGUAGUCUCAGAAAAUUAGAAUAAAGUUGUAUGUGGCAGAUCCAUGCAGAAGACCUCUUUUUCCCUCUCUUUCUUAGAGGCUGGCAAAUUAAUAACCAAGGAAUGGAAUGUGUGGCAUUUGCAUCAUCUUAAGGCACCAAUUGUAGCCCUUGUAUUAAGUUUUGAUAUAAUAUAAAUUCCCUCACAGCAUCAACAGUAGAAGGUACAGUCAACCAACCAUCAUCGACCAUAGAUAUGUACAUAGCAUCAUAUGAACUCAUUUUAACAGUAGAAGCAAAAGGGCAUUCAUGCCUGAAAGUAAACUCGGAUCAGAUAACAACCUGUCUGCCCCACCAAAGAGAUCCUGAGUAAAUCUCAUACUGAGUAUUUAUUGGACCAUCAAAUUUACUGACAAUGACAGGGUUCUAAAAAAGCAAAAAUUAUAUUUUGGUUUUUUAAGAAAAUCUGCUAAAGUAUAUAUUUCUACUCUGAAACUUAGAACUGUCCUCUAAUCAAACGCUUUACCACAUGCACAGUCUAAGAUGGUCAGCAGAAGGUUAUUGUCCGUACAGCACUAGUUAAUGGCCAUAGGCAUGUCAAGUCUAGGUUCGCACCACCUGUUCAUAUUAGAGAGCAUACACACUCAACAGCUAGUACAUCUUCCCAUGAACAAGCACCUCCAUCUUACUGGCCUCUUCUCCCCUCACCACAGUGCUGUCAAGUGGAGCAAGAUGAUAAAAGUAGAUACUGCAUCCUAGAUAUAGGAUAGGUAUAAGGGUUCGCUGAAGUCUGGCUGAAAGUCAAAGACAGCAAACACUGGUUAUUGGUCUUAAAUAGGGAAUAACAGGGACUUUGGUUUAUAGCUGAAGUAGGAAAGUAAAAUUCCCAUGAAGAAGAUAUCAUGAAGCAAAAGAAGGCAUCAGAUCCAUCUGACAUUGCUGGAACUAAUCCAAAUAAGGACGAGAGUUGCUAAUUUUAUCAAAAAUUUAGAGAAAAAAUUUCCUGCUUAUAUUUUACUAACCAUCAAAUCUGUAUGUAAGAAUCAAAGUAACUAUCACCAAUUAGCUCAAGGAAUCAUCAGCUAGGUCUUUUGAGAAAAUUAUCACUCUGGAAAUUGACUUUAUACCAGAAUUAGUGAAACCUAAUGGAAUUCUAUUAACUACAGCAUAAAAAGGAAACAAAUAUACAAUAGGUCCUCCCACAUGCAAUCUCCUACAUGACCAAUUCUAAAGUAAGGUUUUUCUGUACUUAUUUGCCUGAUAUUAUUUCUCAAACAGCAAGAAUUCUCUUCAAGUAUUCGUUACACUGCAAACUAAGUACAGAAAUCAUGCACCAACUGGUCACUUGUAAAUGGCUCUUACCACUUAAUUUGAUUAUGAUUCGUUACACUGCAAACUAAGUACAGAAAUCAUGCACCAACUGGUCACUUGUAAAUGGCUCUUACCACUUAAUUUGAUUAUGAACAGUAGAACCUAGAAUAUGGUAUUGCUGUUUAGGAUUUUUUUUGAUAGUUCGAAUAUCAUUCUUAAGAUGUAAGAUAAAUUAGAAUUAAAAUAAACAAAGAAACCGAUAGCGAAAAGAUGAAAAGGUGCUGCAAAAGAAAUCUAAUACAAUUCAAUAAAUGCUUUCCAAAAUUCUGAAAUUCAGUGACCAAAAUAAUAAAAUCUAAUCUAGAAAAUCGCAAACUGCAAGCAAAAUAAGUAACAAUGAGGAACAAGCAUUUGCCAUAUGCAAAUAUACUUCAGUUCAGAAAGUAAUGUGAAAGUAGCAAGUUGCUGGAUCAAUAUCAAAAUCACCCUUUUCAACAUUUUGAUAUCAUUAGAAACUAGUUCAACCAAUCUUCUUACCUUAAUAACUUCGAGAGGAUGGCACACGAGCGUGCUCAUGAUGCCAGCAGCUGCACCACCAACAGCAACCGGAGAAAUCCAUGGAAAAGGGAGGUCUAGAUUAAUAUGACCAAUCUGCAACUUUGGGCAUCCAUUUUCUUUCCACUUCUCCUGUGCUGAUGUUAUGGCCCUUUUGACAUGCUCAAAAGUGGCUAGCUCAAUUGCCUGGGUUGGAAUAAUGCGGAGAAUGUUGAUGGUGUUUCCAGCCCAAAGUCCUUGCCAGCCAUUCUCGUCAAUGAUCUCUAUGAAACUGCCAGUGAUGUGUUUGGAUCCAACCCCCACUACCAUUCUAGUUCUGCAAAGAAGAUGCCAGUGCCAUUAGAUGUUUUCCGAAUCCUGAUUACAUCAUCCUGAAAAGAAUAAUAUUGUUGAUGUAACAUAUUAAAGAUGUCAAUUGAAGAGUUUGACAGCUUGAGUUCACAAAUGGCCAUAAAAGUACAAAGAUUUGCCAUUUGUUUUUUAACUCCAUGGGCUCCAGAGUUCUUCUUCUUUACUUCUUAGAAGCUAAAAAAGAUCACAAUCCUAAAUAAGUGACUCUAAGAGUCAUGUAGUUAAAUAAACUAUAGAAGAUGAACUUCCAACUGUUUUAUAUGUAAAUAACAUGAUCAAGUUAGACCAUAUGAUCUAAUGACUUGUAUGAUCCAUGAUAUGGAUCUACAUUCUAUGGUUCUAGCUGAUCUUGAUGCAAGGAUGAGAUUAAGAUCAUUUAUGGCCACUUUGUUUCAAUACUGUAAGAUAUGGAUCGCAGAUCAUAAGUUCUUAACAACAAUUGUUUCUAGGAAUUAGGAAGCACAUAAAAAAAGACAUGUUCAUAAAGAAACUAAUGAUUACUAAUGCAAUUAAAAUUUUUUAUGUAGUUUGCGAAAUUGCCAAUUCAGAAUUAUAUUAGUACAAGACAUUGAUGUAAUUAAAAAUUUAUGUAGUUAGGUUAAGUUACACAAGUGUUGACUGCAAUACAUAAUUGAUGAACUGAAAUUUAUAUUAAUAAAUUAACACAAGUUGGUAAACUGGUCAAGAUAUAACUAUGAAGCAUGAUAUUUCCAACAGCAUAUAGCAAUUACAAGUUUCAGACAUUGAAAAGAUCUCUAAUUGCAAGAAGAUUCAGGUGCACAUUAAGGAAGCAACAAUCUUUGCAUAUAUGAAUGCAAGAGAACCUAGCGGGCAACAUUUUAAAGAAAAAAAAGUUAUCUGAAAUAUGCAUUUCUGAAUAUAUAUAUAUAUAUAUAUAUAUAUAAUAUAAUUGGCAUUUAUAUUCAAGUAAAUCCUAAGUCAGAUAACACAAGUAGAGUUCAUGAAUGGGUUUCAACUCUGGAAUCAGAUAAGGGGCUGUCUAGAGUCCUGUAAGUGGAGUUGCAUAGAGAUUAAUUUGCAUAUGGGAGCCACCCGCUUGUUUGGAUGAAGCCUGCAAGUCCAAUUGUACAGUAAGUUGAGUUGCUCAUUAGGCUAUAACUUAAAGCUUUCUUGUAGUAGGUUGACUUGCAAUCAAAAAUAGUUGCGGGACAAAUUGCAACCACUUGAAUAGAUAUUAUUAAUAUUUUCUUAAAAAACUCUCCUCCUCCUCCUUCCUGUCCCCUCUCCUCUCCUACCCUGCUCUCAAGUCCCAACUCGCCAUCUCACUCAAUGCCACCGCCAACACCUCACCUCCAAGAGGUCCCCAGACACCUCCUAGGCCUCUCCUCCUCCUUCGCCACCCUGCUUCUCAAGUCCCUCCUCGCCAUUGCCGAGAUCCACAACCACCUCCUCCACCUUGGACUUCACUGUGCUGCCCUCCUCCUUCGCUCCUACUCUACUGCAUCUCCUCUUCUUUUGCCGCUGCCCACCUCCUUUGCCCCUCUCCUUCACCUUCGCCGCCCUUCUUAAGACUUGCACUGUCACCCGGACCCUCGCCGCCAGUAGCUUCAACAUUGACAUCACCUCCAUGUACAUCAAGUACUCUGACCUGGCAUCUACUUGCAAGAUGUUCCAUGGAAUAUCUGUCGGAAACACCCCUCUUUUUCCAAACUCUUCUCCAAACAUAAGAAUUGAGUUCCCUUGUAGUCAACUAUGCAACUUGAGUUGCAGUGCAACUUCAACUACAAAGCUCUAAAUAGCUUCUAAAAUUUGUGUCAUUGUUGUAGGUUUUGUACCUGAACCAACUUGCAUGGAUUCAUUGCCAAGUUCAAGAACUCCAAGUUGGGGUCAGCAAAGGAAUUUGUUUUUGAUGUUCAUCAGUUCAUGAGAUUCAUUUUAGUAACUCCAGCUCCUUGGCCAAGGUUCGAUCAAAGAAAUAUGAAAAAUCUUAGGUAACUAUCGAAGUUUGCAUUUUGGCUUAUGAACUUAAACAAAAGCUAAACAGAAAUUUAUAGUAUUAAAGGGGAAAAAAAAAGAAGAUGAUUUUAAACAUCUGGGGCAUCCUUUGCAAGCCAGUUGGAAAAUUUGUGUCCAAAUCUUGCACGAAUAAGAGAUGUCUAUUAAAAAUAAUGAUAGCAAAAGUAUACAUACACUGAAAUUUUGCAGAAGAAGAAAUUUUAAACCUGAACAUUGAAUUCAAGAAAAUGUAAUGAAGAGCCUGUAAAGAAAGGAAAGCCCACCGUAUAGUCUCCAGAGGAGCAAGAAUAGCCUUAGUCAUGGAACCAGCUAACGCCCCGCUAACAAACUCUGCAACUUCUCUUCUCCUAAAGAAGUUCUGCAGCAAAGCAAAAAAAAAAAUUAAAUAAAAUAAAAAAGAUAUGGAUGGCCAGGCUCGAAAACCCAUUUUCAUCAUUCAGUGCUCCCAUGGUAGUUUCAAAAACUCCGAUGCACUUAGAUCAUUUUCACAUUUGGACCCACAAAAAUAUCUCCCUGAGAACAACCUUCUAUAAUAAAUAUAGCUUAUCAUAGAAUGGACUGGAAACUGGAAAACAAACUUCAUAGGCCUUGUUACUAGAACAGUUCUAAUGGAUGCAACGGCUGCCAGACAUAUUAUUUUAAGAUGGUGUUGUUUGAUGCCUGAUCAAGAUAUAGCAUAUGAUGAAACAAACAAAGCUAUUCAACCUUUGAACCCCCAUAUCGACAACAAACACCUUGCAAUCACAUUGAUAUAGACAAAAAAGGAACAAAAAAACAAAAAGCUGACUCAAAAUAAAGCCAGUGCAAGUUCUCAUGAUCCAAGCGAUUGCAACGAUCAGAAAUUAAACUUUUGCAGAGAACUCCUAAUGGAACGGGAGGUUCUAAAAACAAAGCACGACCAGAUACGUGAAGAAAAACCUCAACUUGUUGAGUACUAAACCAGGUACUUCAAGGUGUCAUCAGCCCCUUCGAUUCCAAAACAAGUAAUAGAGCUAAAAAUUAAAAAGGUGUGAACUUUGCGAUGGAGGUAUGCACAUAAUGGCCAGAAAAUGGAAGGUCUCAUCAGACUGGGAGAUGCCCAUCUCGUCCUGAAUCAAAUAACGGAACUUAAAAACUAAUUUAGCGAGUAACAAAAUAAAGAAUCCAUUUUUCCGGAUCGAGAGACUCCCAUCUGAUUCCAAACGAAGGAAAACAGAGCUAUAAUCAAGAGACUUCCAUCUGAUGCCAAAAAGAGGGAAAUCAGAGCUUUGAUGUGCACGGCCUUUUGCAUGACGAGGAAUUUUUUUAAAAAAAGAAGGACAGGGAUCAAAAUGGAGAUAACAAGAGGAUCGGGGGGGAAAAAAACCACCUUAAUGGCCCCACCGACAUCGGGGAUCCCGAGACGGAUCUCGACGGCGGGGCAGUUCUUGUGGACGGCGAGCUCCUUGGACACCGCCAUCUCCACGGCUCAAGCGUCCCCCGGCAUCCACAUCUUGGAUUCUUCUUCUACCUCUUCCGCUGCUCCAACUCUAAAUCCACUGUACCAUCCUUUUUAUUUCUGGAAAUAAAGAACAGAAUUUUGGAAAGCAGUCAAAUGCGAGCGAAAUCCAGAGAAAAAAAUAAAAGGCAGAUUUCUUUAAUUAGCUGAAAGGAAGAUGAGAAGGUUUUGAGAUAGAUUNNNNNNNNNNNNNNNNNNNNNNNNNNNNNNNNNNNNNNNNNNNNNNNNNNNNNNNNNNNNNNNNNNNNNCUUUUUUUCAUUUUUCUGGGAAAAAAAACUCGCCCACCCCCCCCCCCCCCCUUCCUCUUUUUUGGCCUCCCUGUUCAUUGCACUGACGAACCCUAGCUCUGAGGAACUCUCAACUAACGUCUCCGGGCAACUUUCCCGAGAAAAUAAAAGGUAUGAAAGGUUGAGCGGGUCCCAUUCAACAUGACAAAGUGGAGGGAACAUUGAGCCGAGAAACUACUGCCUGCACGUACAUCAUCAUCAUCAUGGCUAUGUAUACAAUCACAGCCAUUAAUUUUUAUAUGCUUUAUGCAUCAAGAAUAAUAUAUUUUGAUGUAUCAUUAUAGAAACCAGCAGCUACGAUCAUGCUCGUGCAUACAGUAUAGACAAUAAUUUUUUCUAAACCAGAAUUAAGAGAAUGUAGCUAGAAUUCCAAAAUGCGUGGAUUAGAGUUUGGAUUUAAAUUUGAUUGAAUAGUCUUCUCUUGCACCUCCCCAACCCCUAAGAAAAAAUAAAAAUCUCCAAGGAGAUUGACUUAGAAUGUUGAUUUAGAAAAACCUACAACAAAGUUAAUUUAGUCUAUGAGACUAAUUACACCUACAAAAUCAAAGUUCGUCGCUACUAUCACAGUGUUAAACAUGAACUGGAGAAGACCCAAUCUCCAAGGAGAAUGCGUGAUUGGUACGAACACCAUGUUUGUAUAGGCCCUAUGCAGUAUAUGAGGCAGCAGCAGUGUAGGGCUUAUAUUAUCGCCAUUGCAUAAAUCAUUGAUAGCUAUAAUUGGAGAAUCAGCCCUCUCUAAUUUGCGUCCGAAUUAGGCAGGGUUCCGAACUUGAUUCUUAAGGAACUUGGAUGUCUUCUUGAUCCAUUUCUAAGUGGAUAAUAAUUAAAAGUAAUUUCUGUGAUCCAUGACAAAAAUGAGGAAAUGGAAGAGAAAGGAACUGGAGGAACAUCAAAUUUAGAAAAUAAUAAAUAGCUUGUAGGUGCAAUUUUUUUUAAUUUUUCUAACUGCUUUUUGAAAUGCAUAUAGAAUGAAUACAAUAAAAUAGAUGAAUGAAAUAGAAUACGAUUGAAAAAGAAGGAGCAAAAAUACAGCCAUCCAUCCUACAAGUUAUAAGCUAGUAAGAUAUCAAAGACACAUAUGAUGUAGUUCAUAUGAAACAUUAAGGCUGACAAUUUACUUUUCCUAUUGCAUACUCGACCCUAAUGGAAUGGAUUUUAGAUCUAGAAUAAAUAUGGUAAUAGCAAAACCUGCUCCAAAGUUGAUGUGCAUAUAUAAUUUUUUACAAAUCCUCUCACAAUCUUUUUAUCUUGACCAUUCUACUCGCGAGAAAGGUUGAAUACGUAAAAGGCUACAUGUCGUGCUGCUUAGUUGUUUAUUUUUUAGUUGAUUUUUUUUUUUAGUUUAAAAGGCAUUUAGUUUCUUAAUGAAUGAUAUUUUUAUUUAUUAUGUUUUUGUUAUUAUUGAAAAUUUGGUUGGCUAUGUUUUAUACAUUCGACUCUUAUUUUGUUUAAUUUUAUCAAGAAUACUAAGAUUUAUUUUUUAUAGCUUAUUUAUUUAUUUAUUUAUUUUAUAUAUACAAAUAAUAAUUUAUGUAAUUUUAUCAGAUUGGAUUUGGCCAACUCUUUUUGUCCAACUCUAAUCAUCUUGUUCCACUCUAAGGCAAAUACGAGAUGGGUACAGUAGAAAUGAUAAUUUAUUCUGCCUCAUAAGGCACUCAAUUUGACUUGAUCAUAAUGGGACGUGUUUUACUAGAUCCACGGUAGAUUUGUGGGGAGCACGACUAAUGAUAAAAUAGAUUCCGAGCUUGAUAUAUUUAACUCUUCCCAAUUUUUUUCCACAAAAAUAAAAAAUAAUUUGUAUAUAGAAAAAAAAUUAAUUUUUAUAGUUUUACCCUAUUUAAUUCGUUCAACACAUCUUAACUCUACCCGCUCCGGCCCGACCUGAGGUAAAUACCAAUGGAUAUGGGUAAUAGCCCUUCUGAUCUAUGCCUGAUUUGUUUCCAUCCCUGGGUAACCGUCUAUCCAACUGAUAUCCGUCAUCUAAACGGAAGAUGCAUGAGUUUUUUUUUUUUGUUAAAAAUAAUAGUUCUACAUUCUGACUGAUAUAGUUGGCUUGGCGCACUCGACCUCCCGGCUCCCGCCCGUCGGAAAACGAAGGGCAUAUCCGUCAUUUUGGUCUCUACCCCACGCACGCUCCAUUUUUUUUCCGUCACUCCCCAAUUCCUUCCGCUGUCCGAUAUAUUUGGCGUCCUUCUUCGUUGCUCGUUCCUUUUCAAACAUUUCCCAGUUCUCCUUCCCCCCCCUCCAAGAAAGGGCGAAGGCCUUCCCCGGCGGCAACGAACGAGGGCGUCGAAACCCUGACCCUAAUCCUAACCCUAACCCUAACACUAGGCCUGGUUUCGAUCGCCAGAUUCGAUCGUGAAGGCAAGGACGAACGCCCUCCGGUGUCUUCUUGAUCUGACGUUCCAUGUGUGGAUCUUCGCGGCCCAUGGAGAAGCGGGGCCGAAGCCAUCAAGAACUCGUGUCUCGGUGGGAAUGCAUCCAGCGGGAGCAAGAGGACGACGAUCCUUCCCCCGAGGAGUUCCUCCGGAUCAAAAGAGCCAAGGAGCGGUGGUUCGCUUCUUUUUUCCCCGUCUCUCCUCUGGAUUUCUCAUUUAUUUCGGCCUCCAAUGCCUUGUCUUGCUUUUUUUCUUUCCCCUUCUUGAUCUUUGCGUUUUCUUUUGCCAUCUGAUGCAUGGAUAAGUAUGGUAGAUUGGGUUUAUUGAAAAAGUGAGUUAAACAACGAGCUUUUGCAGGGUUUUGGAAUGUUAUUUGCUUUAAUUGAUUGAGCUGUUCAUUCGGUAUAUUGGAUCUUUUGGCAUCUCUAUAUUCAUUUGCUUAUGGUGCGAGCCGGUGGAAGGAACUAUGUUUCUUGUUCCUAAUAUAAUCAUGCCAGUGCCAAUCAUUUUGUAGACUUUAUUUGUUAAUUUAUUUAGGUUGCUAAGUUUGUUUCUUGGCCUUUGAGCAAGAUUUAGAUCUUACUCAUUUCUACUUUCCCGUGCGAACCCAUUGGGAACAGUUUGAUAUGCUUUAAUUGAUGCAUCUCUAGACAAUCAGCUAACAAAGCAGUGAUUACCCAAUAUCACAGUACUGGUUGUUGGAGCCCCCCGCACCCCCUACCCCUCCAUCUAUCAUCAUGUAUACAGCAAGCUGAUGUUGGCGGCAGUUGGCAUUAUAUGGAGAGCUUGCUUGUAGUUACAUAUGCUAGUUUUAAUGCAUACACAUUCAUAUGCGCACGCACACACACACACACUUGCACAUGCAGUUCGGUGCCAUUUGUCCGAUAGAUCCUAUGCUUCUUUCAUCAAAUAUAGAGAUAAAAUAGACGAAUGCUAAUGACAUAGCUUUGUUAAAUUAUUCUGCUGAUGCUUCCUUAUGCAAAUGUAGUAUAUUGAUAUAAAAUGAAAGUUUGCAUGAUUUGGUAUUAAUUUCAAAUGAUAAAGUUCUAACGGGCUGAUAGAAGGUCUUAAUUUAACUGGCUCAAUAAUACCAGAGACAAUAUUCUGCGAACUAUUCAUGAUGGUACAGGAAUCUUUAAAUAUCAUGCAAAUUAACUGGUUAGUUGGGAAGUGCUUGGAGAUGUAAGAGAACUUAUGAGUUGUAUUUCAAUUUAUUUACCAAGGCCAUGCAACUUGUUUUUUGAGACAUUUUAAUUGGGAAAGGUACUAAUAUAGAGGUGGAUGGCAAUGGAAUGGUGUUCGAGUGGGGUGGGAACAAAACUUUUACUAUUUAAGCUCAUUUUUCUUAUUUCAUCAUCUCAUUUUUUUACAUGGGGCAAAAGUUUUUUCUCAGAGUGGUGAUGGUUACAAAAUGCGAAAUUUUUUCAUAAGUUUAAUUUCCUCAUGCCAUGAAUAAAGGAAAAAUGGACAGUAUAGUAGAGAAACCCAACCAAGGAUUUAAGUUUGGUGGGAAAAGGUGCGCCAGCAAAUGGUCAGAACGCCUGCUGUUUCAUGCUGAAACAGAAAAAGAAAAUUUAAAAGCCUUUCUUAUAGGAAAAUAUUAAAAAAAUAUUUAAUUCGUGCCAUGCCAACCAAUACUUGGUGCUGAUAUUGUUCCAGCAUGUAUGUGUCCAUUUGAAUAGACUAGCACCAUCUGACACUUGAAGCCAUGCUCCCAACCAAUUAUUUUCCCUUGACUUCAUAAAAUGUUUCUCAUGUGUAUUUCCAGUUGCCAUAAGAAAGUCCAUUAUGCAUUUUUUUUCUCUACUUGAGAGGCCUUCAUCAAAGCUAGGGAUUUCUUUGAUUCUUUGUGCCAACUUGAUGCUAGGAUGAAAAUAAAACAAAUAAAAAUAUGUAAAUGUAAAUUUGGCCUUUUUUGGGGCCUAUGUACUUAUAUGAUUCAAAGGAUGGGUUUUGGUCAUUGCUUCAACUUUUAAAGACCUUAAGCAGCAUGUGGGCCAUAAUGGGGCGGCCUAGUGCCUAGGCCCUAGGCGCUAGGUAGGCAUUCAGUGGUCAAGGUGGCAAAAAAUAAUAAAAAAUAAAAAUUAAAGAAGGAGAAACCUAAAAAAAUUGUGAACCCUCAGGUGAAACAUAUCAUCUAAGUUAAAUAUCAACUCGACAACAUCCAAUACUAAUUUACAAAUCUUAAGGUAGGUAACUAGGUGUCAGUCAUAUGAAACAGUGGUUUUGCCGAUAGGAUAUCAGCUUUCUGACUUCAGGUCCAAGAAUCAUAUUACUACACAAUUUCAAUUAGUUCAACUUCAUAUAGGGUAACAGAUUUAUUUGGUCUGCUUAUUCUUUCAUGAAAUUUUCGUGACCCUAGUUCUAGGCUCUUAACAUUUAUGAUUUGUUUCCUUUUAGGUACUACAGGUUAUUGUUAACUUCGAAUGUUGUACACUUUCGAAGUUUAAAUUUGGUAAGCAACAAGAUCCAUUUCUCAAAUAUGUUCUGCUUGAGAUAAUGAAGCAAAUAUGUUCUGUUUGAGAUAAUGAUGCCGCUCGGUCUCUUGGUUCCUGUACCCAAACUUAGAUAGGUCAAGAUUUUCUACUAUAAAAAUUUGGUUGGAUCUAUGACGUUGCUUCAAAAUAUGCCAAAUUUGGUAUACACUAUUAGUGUUACUGAUUAAGUUAGCUUUUACAGCGACUUGAUUAAUCUGAUUCGAUUUGAUAUAAGAAACUUAAGUCCUAGCUUGUUGAUCUUCCAGAGUGUGAGUGAAGCCUGAACUUGGCUAGUUUCUUGCAGAAUUAACAUUACUUAACCACAUGCACAACCUUGUCUAAGUGAACUUGGUUGAGCUUACAGUAAGAUAUGUGUGCUAUGUCGUGUGGCACGUGAGGCUGGUAGGCCUGGUUGGCCUCGUAGUUACUUUUUUAGAAUCAUCCAUGAUUCUUUUAAGGGUCAAUGCACCUGCCUGGGAGAUGUUGGUUUCCUCUUUAAGUAGGAUGUACAAUAGAUGAGAUUGGGAUUUUAGACCAGAUUUUAGGAGACAGAGUAAGAUAUAUUACUUGAGAAUCUUCACUAAAGGGAGUGAGUCCUUGUGCAGUGCCGAAACUUGUUAAGAUGUGUGAUAUGGAUUCUGACAUGUACAAAUGGAAAAAAAAAAGAUAGAAAAAUUCGAUCAAGGCCUGAUGCCUAGGUAAUAUAAUCACUGUGCUUUUCUUUCUAGAUACAAAGAAAAAUCAAUAAUUCUUUUCUAAUAUAAAACUUAAUAAAUUAUUCAAUGGUGAUUUGGGUCUUUCACGUUUAGAAAAAAAGGGCAAAAUGUUGAUAUAGUAAUAUGUUGACUAUUAUUCUCCUGCACCACUUCCAAGAACAUGCCAAAUAAAGGUCCUCCAAAAAAUUGGCAUUGGCAUCCAAAUGUUUUUGCCAAACAUCUCUCCUCUCUGACAAACUUUUUUACUCUUCUUUCCUCCAACGCUACCCGGACCCGCUUAUUUGCCUCUUUGUAAUUUGCUAAUCCUCCUCAUCUUGCAGAAGUGAGUGCAUAAUACUUUUAUGUACAUAGAGGUCUGUGCCAUCUUCUUUGGUGUUUUUCCACCUACAAAUAUGUGUCACAGCUGUGAGCCCUCUUCUAACCAUGUCUGCCACUGUCAUGGUGCAUGUACCUAAAGGGACAAAAUCUUCCUUGUCAUAUUACCUGUAAACAUAUUUGCUUUCUCUCUCAUUGAUAAUGCUGGUAAAAUCAUCAAAAAUUACCAAUGGGGGUUCCAUUUGUGUUGAUAGGUAGCUCUCUGUUGAUUGAGAAUUUAGUCUCACAGUGAGAAUGUUUUUAAAACCUGGCUAGAAUCUUUUUGAGGAGCCUCUAAAUUUUCACCUUUAAUCUUGGAAAAAAAUUAAUUUAGAAGUGAAAAUAGGUGACUGUUUGGACUUUGGAUUUAUUAGCAUUACCUAAUGAAAGGUCUUUGUUUUUCGAUGGUCAUUUGGUGAGGCUACAACUAGCUGCUUAGAAAAUAUGCAGGCCUAGUUGGUUUUAAUUGUGGUUGGCCGUAACUAGACUACUUUUCUGAAAGGAAAAGGAAUAAGCUGGCACUCGGAUGCAUGAAGGACCCUAUCUUUCACUUUGUUUAUGAGUCUUUGCAGGACUUAGAAUUUAUGAACUAGUUGGUCUGUGCUGGUUGUGUAGCUAACAUGGUGAUGUAAGAUGCAUUUAAGCUAUAACAAGAUGGGAAGUUUUGUUGAUUCUAGUGUAGGCAGUCAACAUACAAUGAAAUCUAAGGAAGCAAGGAUACUUCAAAUCACAUGUCGUGUCUAUUCUGAAUACAUAAUGGAUACUGAUACUUGCUGCAUAUUUCUCAGAUAUGUGCCUGGUUAAAUAUCCUAUUUUUCCAAAAAUCCAGAUAUUUCCUCGAUACAAUUGAGAUACUUCCUCGAGACAUCUUAAAAUGAGGGAGAGGGUGUUUUCUUUCUUUUUAUAAUGUAGACCUUUCACAAUGCAUGGUCAAUUCUAUAGUAUAUGUUGUUAUUAUUAGAGUAUGAUGUAUGGAUUAGGGAACUUGAAUUAGGGCUAAAUGAUCAACUUGUAAAGUUGAUGCUAAGUAUGGACUAUGUAACUUUGAUAGCAUACUAUGCUUUAUGGCUGCAUUUUUAUAUGCAUAUGAAUGCACAUAUAUGCGUGCACGCACAUAUAUAUGUGAAUCUGUAUAUGCAUGUAUACAUACAUACAUACAUACAUAUCUAUGUCUAUAUCUAUAUCUUAUACACACACAUGUAUGCAUGUAUACCUACUCAUGUCGUGUGUUACUUUUUCCAGAUUUGCCAUGUUGAAGUAUCUGUAUCAUGUAUUAUUAAUGCCCUGUAUCUGAGUCCAUGUUUCAUAUAUGAAAUCAAGCUCUAUUGGUUUGUUAUGAUGCACUGUUUGAUGAGUUCAACCACACCGAAGUUCUACAAAACCCAUUAUGUAUUCAUCCAAGAGAAAAAGCAUUUCAAGAGUGGGGUUUUGAAUUGGAUGUAACAUUUUGGGCUUCAAUGUUGUUAUAUUGUGUAGACAAACAUGCAAAAUUUUUUAUUUCAGCCUGCCUAGAUCAAGUUCUCUUCAUUUCUGACAAAUCGGCCAUUAAAUAUGUAUGUUUAGCUUUUAUGUCUGAAAUUUCUACCACUGAUUCUAUUACAUGUGCUAUCAUAUUCUAUAUUGAACAAUCAUUUUGAUAUUCUUUCCCAUGUUUGACUUUCUAAUUAUUUGCUGCAGGUUUUCAGAUUGCUUUGACUUCUUGGUCAAUCUUCCAAAUGAAAGCCAUAUCUGGUGUUCCUGUUCAGAAUUAAUGCGACCACUUUUGGAAACCUUCCAUGAUUACUUCAAUAACUCACCUUGCAAAGUUAUAUGGAAGAGAAUUUCUCGAGAACUGAGGCACUGCACACAGUGUAUAUGGCAACACCAUCAAGCCCAGGAAACUUAUAGUGCUGAAUAUGAAUUAGAUACUGUUGAUCCUCUUCUUAAAGUAUUAUAUUGUCUUGAUGAAGAGAGGAUCACUGAGCAUCUUAAAGAAAUCAAUGCAGGAUUGCUGAGUAAAGAAUAUGAUCCUCAGUAUCAUGGCAAUGAAGUUGUCAGUGUGAUGUUUGAAGUAUGUUUUUUCUAUACUUUUCUAUAAACCUAAUGGCACUCUUCAUGACAUUAAUUAUUUAUUUACCUUUAAAUUUUGUAUUAAGUUCUCAGAGUACCACCUGUGAAAGAUGUGCUCUCAUAUUUAAGGCAAAGAAUUUAGUGGAAUGCGUUGGGUAUAGUAGGCUAACUCACUUUAAGUUCAGUAGAUAUUUAACUUGUAAUUGUUUGUUUUUUCUAUCAUCCUUGAACACUGCAUGAGAUCAUUCUGCAUGUUAACUUUAUAUGAUUUUGCUUUUUAUUUUUUAUUUUUUUUACUCUUUAAAAUAUUAGUGAGAUCUUUUUGCAUUUCAAUCAGAUGGAUCAAUUUUUUUUAUCCAAAAUGAUUGCAAAACAGCCAAUUCACAUGUUCUGAGAAAGCCUCUGACUGCAGUGAUUUGGUUCCUGCUGUAAAUACGUUGUCAACAGCCACUUCACAUGAUGAAUACCUUCCUCUGCAUCACUGAAAAACUUUGCUCUACUUUGUCGACAAUGCCUGGUGGUCAAGCUCAACAGACAUAUUUGCCACUAAAACAUUAAUAAUAUAUAUUUUUCAUCCUAUCGACAUCAAAUAUGAUACUUGUCUUGAUCAUUAAAUAAAUAAAUAAAUUGAUUGAUUAAAUAUCUCUUUGUUUUGGUUCAUGAUGCUUGCUUGGCCCUAUCCUUUUUUCUCUUUUGCAAUGUUUUCCUUGAACUUGUUGUUUAAGUACAUUGCCAAUUGAUGCUUAGAACUUUGAUUUCACCACCUGUAAUAAUUAGUCAUGUUUGGCCAUUGCAGGUAUUAACAUAUCCUAUUCUGUUAGAUGACCAGUCAUUGGUUAAUGAGUUCCAGAUCUUUCUCGAAGCAAUUGAUAAAUGUUGUGAAGUGACACUUACUGGCAAUCAUCAAUAUCUGGUAAUUAUUAUUCCAGAUUUUGUUGCUGUUACAUUUCUCUGGUUCUUCUGCAUGUAUUCUAGUGACAUUUUGGUCCUGCUUCUUCCCAUCUUGGUUUUUUAUAUUCUAAAUACUGUUCAUAUUACAUCAUUAGGGAGUCUAUGCCCUACUUUUCUUUAAAAGUGGAAGAGCUCGAGCGAUUGGGCUUCGUCUUGCUGGACGCAUGGGGAAGCUGAAGUAAUGUUUUUCAGUCCCUUUUUCUUACUGCUCUUGUUUAGUCAUGUCUUAUAAUUUUGAGUUUUAAUCAUAUAGUUUUGAAAUUUUGAAUGGUCUGUAACAGUUAUGAAGGGAGAUGCAUUUACAAUGGGAAACCAACUUCAUGAUGUAGUUAUAUGAUAUAAAAAUGUAUACAUGAAGGAAUGAGUUCUUCAAUGGUUAUAAUGUCCAUUUCCAUUUUGAUGUCCACUCUUUUUCUACAAUUCUUAAUUCUGAAGUGGCCCAGAGGAUGUUCAAAAACCUUGAUCUUUAGGACUAGUUACUGCUGAUACCUUUAAUCCUUAGUCCUUGCACGACCUCCUUGCUUUUCCUACUGAACAAGGUGAAUUGGCAUAGUUGUAGUCAAGAUUCGCCGUCUUAGUACUGGAUUCUGUACCAGUGCUAUCUUAUUACAGUAUCGGUAUGUGGUACGGUACGAAAUGGCGAGGCGUACCGAGUGUUGGGUAUGGUACGAGAUGGCGAGGCGUACUGAGCAACGGUACGUUACGAGACGGUGAGGCGUACCAAGUAUCAGUAUGCUAUGAGACUGCAUACCGGUUUGGUACUGGUACAGUAUUGUGCAUCUGGUACGGCGAACCUUGGUUGCAGUUACCAGUGUUCACUUUUUUUCUUUUUUUGAUACAACUAAGGUAGAAAUGGCAUUUGGCAUCUUGUUCCAUUUUUUGUUUCUCAAAACUCUUUCCCAGUUUAGAAAACUUGCAGAAGCUAAAAAAUCUGGUUUUUGAAGUUUUUGAAAACCUAAAUAGCCCAUGACCACCAUUAUUUCCUCUGUAACCAUGUCUUGCCACCACCGCCAUUGACUGCCGGGCACUAGCCAUUGCGAUCACUGGCUUCUGGGUGCUGGCCACAGCCACCACUGCCCUUACCACUAAAGCCGUAGCCAAACAAAACCUAAGUGACUACCAAACAUAUUUCAUAUUUUCAUUUUUUUAAGAAAAAAGGGAAACUGGUUUUCGUUUUAAUAAAAAACUGAAAAUUGAAAACUAGAAGUGAUGCCACAUGCUCCCUAAGUUUCAACCUUGGAGUAAGCUAGGCUGUGUUUAAAGUCCGAAUGUUUCAGCUGGCCUCUUUUAAACACUCUGAAUGCAAAAAAUUAAUAAUAAAUAAUCAUAAAAAUGGCCAAUUAUCACAGUAUGCAAAACCAAAGAAGUAUAAACAUAACAUGAUGUGAGAAAUUGUUGAAUAACUGUUAUUGUUGUAUUGGUAGCUCGUAAUUUUGUAAAGAACAGAUAGCUUAUAUUUAUCUAUGUCAGUUAAUUGGUAACAUAAACAUCUCUUCUAUGGAAAGGUUUGGUUUAAAAUUUAAAUGUUGCAGGAGGUGGUGAUAAUGUGUUAUACCAACAUUUAAAUACUAGGACAUGCUGAUACAGAAGCAUAUUGGUUUUGCAUUGAUUUUGGUAAAUUCAAUUAAACUUUUAUCUGAAAUAUUGGCAUCUGCUUUGGUCUGUUAGGCUUGAAAGCUGAAAUGUAUUGGACAGAAUAAUCAUGAUUUGCGAAAAAGAAAAGUAAGCAGUUUGGCAUAUUACAUGCUCUUAUAGUGAUGUCAUCCUAUUAUAAUAUGGUGAUGUGAUAUUUCAAUUUAACUUGAUCAUGGGAGAGUUCUGCAUUUCUAUGUCUUAGUCUAUUAGCAUGCCUGCUUUAUCACAUGUAUGAUCAGUGGAUUGUACUACCUCUUAUUCUUCAUUGUGCUACUUAGUUAAUUUGCCCUUAUCAUUCAGAAUUAAUAUAUGGAAAAAUGAGGUAGUUACUUUAAUAUUACUGUUUUUUAGGAGUGUGACAGAUUUGGAACCAUUGCAACCUCUGUUAAGGAAAUACAUUUGGUUUCUAGAAACAGAGGUCAUACCAUCAACCUUGGGCACUUCGAGGUCAAGAGUUCAGCUUGAGCGUAUAAAUGUAUGGCUUGGAAUGAAAACAUUGUACGUAAAUCUAAAUCUUCAAAUCUAAAGAUACUCGUUUGUCUUCUUCUUGACUCUUCAAACCUACUUUGCCGGAAGUUAUAUUAUUCUCUUCCUUAUCUGUAACUUUUGAAACUUGUUUCUUGAAAUCUGUAGGCUAGGAUUUCUUGAGGCCCCAGCAUUUGAAGAUGGGAUACUGGAGAAAUAUCCUGUUUUCCUAAGUAUUAUACUCAACCAUGUCAGUGAUGACACACCAGAAUUUUCAAGUGCUAUUGCGUGCCUUAGGGUGUCCUUCGAAAUGCUUGGUGGGUUUUAUUUAACUACAAUUUACAUGUUUAAACAGUUUCUUUCAAUUUAAGAGAUAAUUUGCUUCUUUCUUGGUCACUUGUGCUUCUAGGAUGUAAACUUUGGUUGAGAACUACAAUAUCUCCAAGCAUGAUGUGCAACACACUAUUGGGUCAGUGUUUUCACACUCGAAACGAGAAAAGCCAUAAAGAGAUUUUUGAUCUUUUCCUCCCAUUCUUGCAGGCAUGUCCACAAAUCAGUCUUAUCUAUAUGAUGCAAUCUUUUCAUGUUGCAAGUUGUUUCCUAGAAAUCUGGUUUUGUUUCUCAUCAUAUACUUAUGUGUCUAACUUAUACAUUCAUACAUGUAGGGUGCAAGGAUAGAACUUUAAUUAAUUAUAAAAUUCAAUAACCCAAGUUGCAAAAUGGAAAUCUAAACUGUUGGAUGUGAUGUAAGAGACUUAAAAUGCUUAUUUACAAAAAUUAUAUACUUUGGAGCAAUGUUUGCGGUACCACCGCGAGCCACCUAGUUAGGGCGUACCAUGCUGUACCUGGUCAAUAUCAACAUGAAAACACUAUCUGGGUUGGUAUAGGCUCCAUACCAACUCGUACCAACCCAUGCCUUUCGAUACCGCCCAAAACCAGGGUGCAUAUGGUACCAUCCAGUUUCGGACAGUACCGUGAUAAAAAGUUAGAAAAAUAGCUCGAGAAUUAUCUCGGUACUGGAUGCAUAUUGUACUAUACCAAUCCGCAACAUACCAGUAUGGUACCUGACAUCGAGGUUGCAUGCCUUGCUUUGGAGGAUCCUAGGCACCAAUUUCUCCCCAAAUUAACACAUUGUACCUUGUAGGAGGAAUUGACACACAGGCAACAUUUGGACCGACUGAGUACUUCCUCACUACAAUUUUAAAACUAGAGUAUGCUGAUUAUAUGGGAUGUUUAUAUACUAGAUUUACGUAAGCAGUCCGGCUUAUGCAAAAAGUUAGAAAAAAUGAUAUUCAGUACAUGGGAAUUUUAGCUUUG
rnacentral:lncRNA from 1 species